UACGUAGGGACCGAGCGUUGUCCGGAAUCAUUGGGCGUAAAGCGCGUGUAGGCGGCUGAGUAAGUCUGCUCUGAAAGCCCGGGGCUCAACCCCGGGAGGCGGGUGGAUACUGCUCAGCUCGAGUCCGGAAGAGGAGUGUGGAAUUCCUGGUGUAGCGGUGAAAUGCGCAGAUAUCAGGAGGAACACCAAUGGCGAAGGCAGCACUCUGGGACGGUACUGACGCUGAGACGCGAAAGCGUGGGGGAGCAAACAGG
rnacentral:rRNA from 1 species